CGAUCGCUAGAUCGCUAGAUGCUAACGCUAGAAAUACCACACCAGUGAAAAUGACUGGUUCUGCGAUUUUAUAAAUGUGCCAACCCUCGUUUAGGGAUCAUUUUAGGGAUCAUCGUUAAUAAUACUAAAAAUGUACUACAUAACAUGGAAUUCCUUCUGAAAGAAAGUAACAAAUCAAUAAAUAUAAAGAUAUUCUAUUAUUACGUAUGUUUUAAAGACCAGUCAUUUUCACUGGCUUUGGUAGAAAUAGCUUCGUGUUAACUAUCGGUAGUUGUAGCGUCAAGGGACGAAGCUCGUCGAUCGGAGUUGAAGAAAUUAGUCGUUCGGUUUAGCGUGGACGUUUGUGCAUUUAUGCGACAUAGUGCAGGUUUUUUAUUCGUGUUGCACUUCUUCCUCAAAGAAUGAAAUUACGUUGAUACGUUUUCAUUUCACGUUUCUGCACAUUUUUCAAGUAAAAGCGUGUACAUUCGUUCUAGACAUUUUUCAACUAAAAGCGACUGAAAAAUCGUUGAAAAUGGUAGAAAAUCUGUCACCUUGUACGCGUUAACGAACGUAUUAUUUCGCUGUUCCUUUGACUCUUACGAGUCAGUUACGUUGAUGAACGCGCGAAAUUGCAUAAUCAUCCGCAGUGUACGUGGUCAUUAGUCGUGUUGCGUAAAAUAGGCGUAGGAAAAGAGUCGUAUCGAAGGAAAAAUCAAGAGCCAGAAGGGACGAGUGCAGAGUGAGUCUAGGUCCGGUUCUCGCGGAGGCUCUCCGUGACACAGCCAUGGAAUACCGAUUGCUCACUCUCCCAUGGCGUUUCCUGUUCCGACCACGUAUCCCGCUUUCAAAAUACGAGCCACACAGAGGACGAAAGAGAAUGAAAGAAUAUGAAAGAGGAGAGACAAAAUGAUCACUGGGGUUGGCUUCUAUUUCCUGGAUUUAUUUUGUAAUUUAAAUUUACUCGACAACUUUUAUACUCACCAUCGUUCGUUUGAUUUUCGUUCUUUUACUUGGAACUUCAUUUCGCUCGAGCAGCAUCGAGAUGACACUUAUAAAGUUCCCGUUCUUCGCGUUCAACGCGCAAAAACUGUUCGAAUUUAUCUCAACUUGUGGAGUGUUUCGACAGCUCACAUACGGGGUGUCCAGUUUUAAUUUGUAAAUUCGUUCCUAUUCUAUCAUCCAUUGCCCGAAGCUUUAUAUCUUCGUAACCGAUAAUAUCUACAUCGGCGUGUUUCUAUCAAGCUAACGUAAUACAAGUGGUAACGGAAGAACACGUUUUGUACAUGGACUCGGCUAUGAAACACGAAAGACGAAGGAAAAUGAAAUCAACGUUGAAGCGGCACUCCGAGGAUCCUACGUGUUACGUCGAUGAAAAGUCUCAAUUUAUAAGACACAGAGUCUGAGCAGAAUUAACGAUCGUACAGAGAAAUUUCAUUAUUAUUUCAUUCGUUUAUUAUCAUUUUAGAUGGAAAUUAUGACAAUGUCCGUAACGUCCGGGGCACUUCAGGAUCUCAUAGCGAGCAAUCAAGAGUUAAGUGAAAAAAGUCGAGUAAAGCAGAGUUAUCCUUAUGCCAAGUCGUAUCAUCCUGACCACAAUGACUGUGUGUGUCACUGCGUGUCGAAAUUUCGCAACACCAUUUUUCGACGAAAUUACCGAAGAACAAAGACGUAUAAUCCUACGCUAAAAACGAAGAAGCAAAGACGCUAAAAUGGGGGAAAGAAAGAAAGGAGGAGAAAAAUGGACGACUAUUGUUCUCAGGCGUAUUAUGCGCGUCAUUCCACGCCUUUUAUUCGUCUGUGUUCAUCGCCGCGCGAAGAUCCGCAUUUACUCGCCAAAUACCGAUCCAGGAUAUUCGUUUUUAAAUCAUCGUCGUCGUCGGCCCGCCUGGGAUUACUCGGCCGACCUGCACAGCUCUGGAAAGCUCGAUUAAUUCCUUGCACUCGUUGACCUUUACUGGUCGCGAUAUGCAGUUGCGCUGGCCGAUAAAAACAGCUUCCCCUUGAAACGUACGAAACGCGUUUUCACCACCCACUCGCUCCCAGAAUUCGCUCUUCUUUUUAUGUAACGGUACUCCUUUCUUUUUUUCUCUUUUUGUCAUAUGUACGAGUACGUUCUUGAAGUACUUUUUAUAACGAUAGUUCUAUAGAUUUUCCGGCUUAUACGAAUACGAGGCUCUCAGAAGCCAAAUUGACCCACUUCACUUUUUAUAAAGCGUUUGAUUUCACAUUAUCCAGAUACAUAAAGCCACACGUACAGCUACGAAAUGUUUUUGUACAUACUGUUAGCCUGUAACGAGCCAGGCUUUUCAUCAGGUUGCAUAAUUUAUUCUCGUAAGAGCAAAGUUUCGUAGUCAUAGGAGAGGCGCUGUGUAACGAUAUAAAACUCAAUGUAAUAUUUGCACUUGAUUAAUUAGUACGUAAACGUUGAGGUAAAUAUCGUAGAAUGGUGUACAAAUAAUUUUUAUGGCCAUUGUAAUUAGCAUUGAAUUUCCGAACCCUCAGCCGCCACUUGUGUCAAUUUGACACGCUUUCGAAAGAAGAUUCUAUUAAUCGUUCUCUUAUAGAACAAUCUUUCCGAAACUUUCUGACUCUUUAUCUAUCUCUGUUCUUUUUAUUCCUCGCGAAGAAUGCGGAAUUAAUAAUUAAUUAUUAAUAAUAUUUAUCUCGCCGUUUCAUCGAGUCACACCGGUAGGAUAAAAUAAAGAUAGCGAAACGCGUUAAAAUUAGAAUUAAAAAUACCUGCUUUCGUAAAUUUAUCCGCCGUAAGAAGAUAGCGAUAAGGAAUUGUAAAUUGGAAGGGAAUUAAAGAAGCAUAACGUCUAUGAUUGUGUCGGUUCUUCGAAACUAUUGCGUUUCAACGAUGUAGCUGAACGUACAGUCUAGCGAGGCUGUGCCUUAAGUACAAGCUAAUGCGAGACAGUUAAAGUAAACCAUUAUAGAAAAUGAAAAUCAAACGCGCUGUGAACUUGUUAACGAGAUGUUUUUCCAAUUACAUUCUCGUCGCGUGUUAUCGUAAUAGUGUCAAUGGCGAACGAAUGUGCUUACGCACAAUGUGCGUAUAUAUAGACGCGAGAGAAAAUUGUGAAGCGAUGCAGCUCUCGAGACGUAGCGCGACGAUAAGAAGCCUCGUUAUCUUUAUGGCUGGCUCGCGGCGUUGCUCGCGGGACGAGCCGAUAAUUUCGUUAAAAUUUAACGUAAAAACUCGUUCUCUUCCUGUUACGAAGGGUGUGUAUACCGGUGGGCACACGAUCCGCUUGGCGCCAGACGAGAAUCACUGUGUCUGCUAUCGGAUGCAGCGAUUGCCUCUCGGCGAGGGCAGAGAAAAUCGAGGUACGAGACGGGAAAACCCGUCCUCGGCUUCUGCCGGCGAUUCACGGCACGUAGAAGAUCAUACGAACGUACGCCCGACACGUUAUAUCCAUGGCAAAGGUGGAUACCAUUAACCAGUUAGCUAUUUUCGACCAGUAUACUCGUCGUGAAGAAAUACCAAUAUUUUCUGUUACGUAGACUAUACUCGGCCGUGAGUAAGGAAAAAAGGAGAAAGAAGGAAAACGAUCAUUUCAUUACAACUUAAUUCUGUGUUUGACCAGUAUACUCGUCGUGAAGAAAUGCCAAUAUUUUCUGUUAUAUCAAGUAUACUCGUCCUGAGUAAGGAAAAAAGGAAAAAGAAGAAAAGCGAUCAUUUCAUUACAACUUAAUUCUGUGUUAUAACAACCACACAUACUCUGUGUUUGACAAGUAUACUCGUCGUGGCUUACUUUUUGCGCCACCUUGUAGGUACACACUUUUCAAAGAGGUCGCAAUCAGCUAACUGAUUAAAGGAUCCUUACUAUCGGCAAUUCUAUUGUGACAUCGUAAACAUUGUUGUAUUAAAAUGUAUUAUAUAUCCUGUGUAAUUACGUAUACAGAGGAUGAGUCAUGCAGGAUGAGCCACUGAAAUAUCUCUUUUAAUUUUGGAGACAAGAAAAAGUGUUUGAAACAGAAGUUGUUCGUUUCCGACAACGAGCCGUUACACGAAGGUCCAAACUUUUUAUCAGAUGGACGCACUUAAAAGAUUUACAGAUUACAUACGUUUUUCUUUUUUUGAUGGAACAAUGUAUUUUUUCAACACCUGCGGUUCUCAGGAGAAUCUCAAUGAUCAUCGGAGAUCACUGAAAGUCACAGACUUUAUAUAUGUAAUAAUGGAUGAGAAAUCAUGCUAACGUUUCUCAAACAAAAUACUCUGUUCUCCUUUUGUUAACAGGACCGUUGACUCCUCCGAUUUGAAAUGUAAAAGUUCGUUCCUUAAACGUUUUUCGUUAUCUAGAAAAUUGAAAGAAUCAUCAAGGUAGCUCGUUUUGGGUAACUCAGCUUGGACAUCGUAUCUGCGUGUAAAAUAUCUUAAGAUUUGUUUGUACGAGAUCUGUCCAUCUGUCUCUGUAACUGAGUGCUGUAGAGUAAUUAAUUAUUAGCAAUUAUACAGUACUUAGAGUCGAUGUACAAAGUAUGGCUUCGUCGUUUAUGGGGUACCUUAAUGAGCGAUCCUACAAAGCGUAUGACUCUCCGGAUGGUUAGCCAGCAACGGCACUUCAAUUUGUACGAGUGGAAAAUGAGGAAUAUCGCGAGUUACAUCUGACGAUGACCGAGAAACGAAGAACGUGGACGAAGAGAUAUGGAAAUCGUGCAGGACAAUUUGAAAUCGAUUAGAAGCAAAGCUGAAACGUUCAAACAAGUCGUUAUAGGCGAUGAAUCAUGGGUCUAUGGCUACGACCCUGAGACCAAAUUCCAAACCUCGGUCAUUGUGAAACGCCAUGAUUUUCCACUCGUACGAGGUACGUCGAACGAAUAAAUAGACCUCGGAUUUUUAUGCAAUUUCGCAACUUCGUCCACGUAACUGGCGUGAUGCGACCUACGUAGAAAGUUAUUUCUCCUAUUAACCAGUUGGUUAACUACGGAAUUUAGUUUUGCAAAUCUCUCGUGGGCUGCGCAAAUAAAACAGGCGAUGAUGAGUUUACGCGUCAAACACGGGCGAAAUGCUCGUGUUGUACAUUUUCCAACGAAAUUAAAGCGAAACGACGAUGGCUUACAUUUUUAUGGUUACAUAAAAUUUCAAAAUUCCAGCAAAAUUAUAAAAUCCAUAAACAAGAGAAAUGGACGAACCAUGUAAGAGAUUCGGUGGGUCUUUUCAGUGUGGAAUUCUUCGAAACAGAGUACGAACACAUUUUCGAAAUGAAUUUCCUUCUGACGAUAUAAAUUUGGACAAACGUUCUCCACGAGAGGCGUAGGUUUUGCAGCGGUUGCUGUGCAACGACAUAGUUUUGCACUUGCAACUCGUAGUCGGUCGACCAACUUUCCAAGUUCGGGUAUGUGGAAUUUGUCCCGUAAUUUGUCCGACACGUCCGACCAAAAAAUUUAAUCGUAUUAUAUGUGUUAUAUUAUAUUCCAAUCGUUAUCGAGGAUACACCGACAUACGCGUGAAAAUAUCCAUCCAUUUUGUAGAGAAACAAGAUUACGCAAACAAUUCCAACAUUCCCGAUAUAACGUGAAAAUAAUCAACUCGGUUUGUAAAAAUUGUUAAUUAAACAAUGCACGGGGAAUAACCGAUAUACCAAAGAGAAUAAUCAAAUUCUUCCUCAUAAAAUACAUAGCAGUUUUAUUGGCAAUAGUAACGUGCCAAAUUUCUAUCGCUUCUUACUACAAUUUCAAUUCUUUAUGGUAAAUGGUAAUUUUUAUUUCAUACUCGUCAAACGCACCGAAAUACACUUUCUGUUUGACGUGUAUACUCGUCGAACGAAGUUAACUGGUUAAAACGUUACAGGUGUUUCUUUCCCGUAUUUCUUACGUUCUUACGCGUCGCGCGAAUUCUGUACACUUUCCCGCUUUUCGAAAGAAACGCAGGAAAAUCCAGGGUCUAACAGUUAAUCGAGAAAACGCGAACGAACUUAUCGUUCGACCUGGCAGAGUCUGGCCAACGAUUUCACGUGCCAUACGAGCGAAAUAGCGAAAUAAAGAUAGAAUUUUAAGUGCAAUUUACCAUCGAACCACGUGGUUCGAAGAGAAAAUUGUCGCAGCUCGAGGAUGCCGACGUAGCUGACUCGACGAUCCGAGGUACGCGAUUUCGCUCGUUGUAUCUCGUCUUCUCCGACCGAAACUUUCUCAUUCUGGGAACUUUGAAACACGUUGGAAAACGAUCGUCGAGCGGAAAGAGCGGCGAACGAGAGACUUUUGGCAGCGAAGCCGCGAGCGUCCGCGUAGUUGCGCUCGUCAGGAGCCGAUUUUAGGGGCUAAACGUUGGCGAGAGGAGAAAAAGCGGCGUAUUUUGAUGCGCGCGCGAGCCGGCCUGCGCCUAUACGCGGCGAGUACUCGUACUCGAGAGUGCACGAGUGCUCGUUCACUGCACUCUCUCGCCGGCUGCAGGAAAGUGGUUUGGACCGUUAAAGCGGCGCUUUCGUUCCGCGCCUGGCCAACUACGAAACUUCCAAUCCAGUGUUUUCGUACCUUUCCUCUUUCAAAAACUUAAUCUCGCCCGUUUGUCACCAUCUUCCCCUGCUACGAGUGAUCUUCGUUGCUUUAAUCUUGCUCGCGUCGUUCUCUGCGCCUGAGAAGAAAUCGCAUAAUUUACGAACGCAUGUCAGAUCGUAUUAUCGAAUUGCGCACAUACUUUUACGUGUUAUUUGGUUGGAUACAUAUAACUAUUGUUUGAACUAGUAUCGUGCUAAAUAACUGUUUGUACUAAUUAAUUCUCAACUAUCGCUUUUAUCGGUAUCUACUAACCACGUAACGAGAGAUAAGAUCGGAGACGAAAAUCGGAGAUCGAAGAGCGUGUCUUACACGUUGCCUAUGAUUUCAGUGUCGAGAUACUCGCGCAUGGUACAGUUUUAUAUAUGUCGAGUUCUCUUUUGGAAUCAUCGUUUGGAUCGGCCAUUGUUGUUAUACAAUAUAGAUGAUAUUUACUGGAACAAAUAUGAUUACAGAAUUUGACAAGUAACCGUGGCGAUUAGAUAGUCGAGAUGCUAAUGACAAUGGUCUUAGGUUCGAUAACGAAUACACGGCCAACGGGAUAACAAAUGCGUUUUCUUGCAAAGUCUAAGUCGAAUUCGACUUACUUGUGCACGAUUCAAGUGUAACUAAACUUACUUGUCCACGGUGCACGUAGAAGUCAAUUUACUAGUAUCAGACCAAGUGGAACUGCACUUAUAUUCUCUUCUCUGUACCUCUCUGUAUCCCUCGCGUUAAAUAUAUCUUUUAAAAGGGAGCUGUACAACUACUCCAUACCUCUGUUAGGUAAAAAUGUCCAUCCUGUGGCUACGUUUAGCGACCGGAGUGUCACUUUGAGUCCAAGCCUACUGUCAUAAAUCUCGGGCAAACAUAAUCGGAUUGAAUCAUAAACAAGUACUUCUAAAUUUAUUGGAAUACAGGUAUUAUUAUUUAAGUACAGCUAUAAUAAAAAAUCUAGACUAAAGUAUUGGGCAUCUUGCCAAAAAUUCCAAAAGGAAGGACCCCAUGUUCUUUUAUCUCCUACAUAUAAAUUUUCUUUUUAUUAUUAAAUUUGUACUUUACAAUUAGCUGAGUUAGAAGCUUAAUUGCUAAAUCGACACGUGGAUGGCCACUCUCAGCGAGAUACUAUCUUCGAGUUUGUCUAUUUUAUUUCUUUAGUGACGUCAAUAGAGUGUUUUCUCUUCGGUCUUCUUUUUAUCAGAGUGUUUUAUGCGUAUCAAAUAAGAAAGAAACGACGGACGACAGACUAUCGUAUUAGACGAAUAACGCGCCACGUAUCUUCUUGUAUUUUCCACUUGAAUUCGUAUCGCGUACGCGUAUCUUGGUGUCUAACUAGCCUAAAGCAAACCCUGGUGGGUAAACUAAAAGCUGGGAUGAUCCUGUCGGCGAGUGUUUGAAACUUCGCGUAAUGCGAUUAACGAGAGACGAGUUAUAUGUAUGCAACAACUUUCAGCGUUCUUGGAGAUUCAAUUAGCCAGGCUGGUUAUAGGCGCACGUGACGCACAUGGCGCACGUGCUGUGGCUGCGUAUCGAUCAACGCAUAUUCACAGAGCACGACAGAACCGCGACAGAUACGGUAGAAACACUCUGUACACCGUCUAUUUACGGAAUUGUCUACGCAGUGUUGGGCCACGCCGAGGACAACGCAAAUGGAUCGCGAUUCCGCUUCCAUUCUUAUCAACCGUACGCUAUACGCCUACAGGCUGCCUCAAAAGAUUGGCGCCGAGCUUUAAGAUACAUUGUAUGAUACUAUAGAUAAAUUAUAUUAUACAGAAUGUCUCUAGUAACUGGAACAGGCUAUAAAACUUUGUUCCAAGCGAAGUUAAGAUAUAUUGUAUCAUAUUAUAUAGGGUGUCUCCAGCAACUGGCAUAGAAUAUAGAACUGUGUUGCAAGUGAAAUUAAGAUGUAUUAUACUAUUAUAGAUGUGUUAUAUUAUGUCAUAUAUAUUGUACUAUGCUAUAGAUAUAUUAUACAAGAUAUAUUACAUUAUAAAAGGUGUCUGUAAUAACUGGGACAGGUUAUAGGACUUUGUUGCAAGUGAAGCUAAGAUAUAUUAUAUUAUAUGAUACUAUAGAUAUAUUAUAUUAUACAGGGUGUCUCUAGUAACUGAGACAGGCUAUAAAACUUUGUUCCAAGCGAAGUUAAGAUAUAUUGUAUCAUAUUAUAUGGGGUGUCUCUAGCAACUGGUAUAGAAUAUAGAACUGUGUUGCAAGUGAAAUUAAGAUGUAUUAUACUAUAGAUGUGUUAUAUUAUGUCAUAUAUAUUGUACUAUGCUAUAGAUAUAUUAUACAAGAUAUAUUAUAUUAUAAAGGGUGUCUGUAAUAACUGGGACAGGUUAUAGGACUUUGUUGCAAGUGAAGCUAAGAUAUAUUAUAUUAUAUGAUACUAUAGAUAUAUUAUAUUAUACAGGGUGUCUCUAGUAACUGGAACAGGCUAUAAAACUUUGUUCCAAGCGAAGUUAAGAUAUAUUGUAUCUUAUUAUAUGGGGUGUCUCUAGCAACUGGUAUAGAAUAUAGAACUGUGUUGCAAGUGAAAUUAAGAUGUAUUAUACUAUAGAUGUGUUAUAUUAUGUCAUAUAUAUUUUAUUAUGCUAUAGAUAUAUUAUACAAGAUAUAUUACAUUAUAAAGGGUGUCUGUAAUAACUGGGACAGGUUAUAGGACUUUGUUGCAAGUGAAGCUAAGAUAUAUUAUAUCAUACUAUAGAUAUAUUCUAUCAUAUCAUGUAUAUUAUACCAUGUUAUAGAUAUAUUAUGUCAUACAGGGUGUCUCUAGUAACUGGGGCAGACUAUAGGACUUUGUUGCAAGUGAAGUUAAGAUAUAUUCUAUUAUAUCAUAUAUAUUAUACUAUGUUAUAGAUAUAAUAUACAGGGUAUCUCAAGUAACUGGGACAAGCUAUAGAACUCUGUUGCAAGUGAAGUUAAGAUAUAUUGUAUUAUAUUAUGCGGGGUGUCUCUAGUAACUGGCGCAGGCUAUGUAGCUCUGUUGGAAGCAAAGUUAGAGAAAAAUCGUAGAGGAAAACUUUCCACUGUUUAACGCGAUUUAUCGUAUUACCGUACUCGCGCGGAUGCUUUAGUACACUGCAGUUGCAGAGUGCAGAUACACUUUUUCAUUUAAACGGAACUAUAUAAUUCGCUUGUAAAGCAUUCGAUGUACUUUACCGUUCCAACGUGAUAUAAAAAUGUAUCAUGGUAAAUAGUUGGAGAAAGUAAUUACUUUGAAAGAUGUUGGAAUUUUGUAAAAUUUCGCGGAUGAGAAAGAAGGAGAAAAUCAACCCGCAAUACUUGUGCCUCUGAUUCUUCUGCCUUCCAUGCGCAAAAUUUCUCGCCAUUGAAAUCGAAAUAACUUUUAAAGUGGUUUCAGCUUUUUUUUGGCUCGAGUAACAUAAUAUCUUUCUGUAAACGAUAAAAACUUGCAUCGGCUGCUUUAUAAAUAAUUAUAAAGUUUCAUUUGAGAAAAGAAUACAGUUUCACCGUUGCAUCCGCGAGAAAAUUACGAUAGAGGCUGUUAAACAGUGAAAAUUUUUCCUUUUCUCUUUUCUUUGUUAUAUUCAUCAUAUUUCGUGUUUAAUCGCGAUACAAGGACAUUUGCGAUUAUUUUAUGUACAUCUACUCUUACGAUAUCUCUGAAUAAGAUUAGAUGCUACUUAUCAUUUCUACGAUAACUUCGUUUUCCUUUCGUUUUUCACGGUCCAGAAAAAUCGACGCAGCAGAACGCCGAUUUGCAAAAUUUUCCUCUACGAUCUUCUCCCAAUUUCACUUGCAACAGGGUCAUAGCCUGUCCCAGUUACCAGAAACGCUCUGUAUAGUACGUGAUAUAUAUCGUGCGCCUAAAUUCACGGUACGAGCGAAUCUCAGGCAGCUUGUCUGACUGAAAACGAUACAAGCUUCAAGAAUAACAAAACUACGCUUUAUUCUCGAGAGACUGCAGCUUGAAAACUCUUGUACCCAACUAAUUCUCGACUAGAUAGGAAUGGAUAAUUCGUCGUUGCACUUCUCCACUGUUUUACCUACAUUAGUUCGUAAACAGAGGAAAUCGAGUCCCGAUAGAAUAAAGUUUAUAAAGUUGAAUAUUAUCGUGAGGAGUUUGGACUUAAAACAACCGAACAUUUCUCGCUAUCCGAGCGUACAACUUCCACCGUAUUGUCACCAACGAGACGUAAAUACGUGCGUCGAUUAAUUAUACUCUUUUCCUUAACCCUUUCGCUUCGAGUGCCGCUUUAGGCGGCGCCCGCGAGAUGACCCGUGGGUACGAAUAUGCGACGAAUCCUGAUUUCGGCACCCCAUAUAUCGGGCAUACGCCAGUGCCAUCUGUAGUCAGUAAUAUAUUUUUUCGUUAUCGGCAGAACAUUUUCUGUUGAUUUUAUUAAUAUAUUGGAUUAAUCACUUCUUAAAAAAUUACUCAUUGUUGAAACAACGUCAGAAUGUUUUACGCAAUAUAUUUCAAACAUCCAAACCUCGUAUACUGUGUCGUGCUAAAAAAUCUGUUAGUGAAACGAUACUUCAUAUACGGUUCUUACAAGAAUUACUGUUAUUUAAGACUUAGGAAAACGUAUAUACAGCAACCAUGCACACUGUGCGCAUUUCUGGCGCACGCUUCCGUUCAGUGACAGUACUUCGGCGGAUUGGACUGCCGAAGCGAAAGGAUUAAAAUAGUUGGAUCAGUUAAGAACUAUUAGGUUGGUAACUAAGUGAUUGCGGGUUUUGCCAAUACCACCUAAUGACAAAAUCCGCAAUCAUUUAGUUGCCAACCCAUUAUAUUUGCUCCUCAAUUUUUCAUUUUCUAUAAUCAACAUACCAGAGAACAAAUACGGGGAAUUGGAAAAUAAUCAGAUAUUUUGACACGUGUGAGUUAUGUGUUUUUUGUGAGUUAGAUGUGUCAAUACCGCCUAGUGACAAAAUCCGCAAUCACGUAGUUGCCAACCCAAUAGAUCGACGAUGAAUUGGCAAUGGGAGGUCGCGCUACACGCGAAGAAAGAUGCCGGAUACUCUGCCGCUGUAUACAACGUAGCUUCGUACGAGACUAGCCUCAGGGAAAAAAGAGGAAAAGAAGGAACGAGAGGCGAACGAGGAAUAAGUGGAUCAACGGAAGAGCGACGGAUCGUGAGACAGAAUCGAAUAAUGGAGCGUGGAAGGUUGACAGAACGGUCGUUAAUCAAAGCGAUUAAUCGAAUGUCACGGAACACGUCCGUCGCUGAAUUCCACGGCUUAGAGAACGGUACUUGAACGGCCUGUACAUUGCACAAUACUUUCCAAUCUUCGGCCAUAAUGAGCCGCAACAACGCGCCACCUGCGAAAUGGAGCAUUUUAUCCGCGUUUCCUCUCCUCUUUUCUUCCUACAACUGAAUCGUGACGGCAAUCCGGUGUCCUCUGUAUAUUCCUUUAGACUAUGGCCGCGUCUGCAUGACUCAAGGUUCAGCCUCGUAUCGAUUAAAAACCAAAAGAACGCACGUAAUUACGUUUGCACGCGAAAUCGAUCGAGCAUUUAUUCGAGUCUCUGCCAUGUUGUAAUAUUAAUCGAGCACGUCCACGGUUCGUUAUUUUAUUCUUGCAAUCUCGUUUGAAACAAUCGCUUUGGAAAUGCAAAGGAAGAAAAAUGAUUUUAUAUUGGCUUGGCAACUAAGUGAUUGCGGGUUUUUACAUUAGGUGGUAAUGACAAAAUCCGCAAUCACAUAGUUGCCAACCUAUUAUAUUUGCACCUCGAUUUUUCAUUUUUUAUAAUCAACACACCAGAAAAUAAAUACGCGGAAUUGGAAAAUAAUCAGAUAUUUUGAUACUUGUGAGUUAGGUGUUUUUGUCAGUUAGGUGUGCCAAUACCACCUAGUGACAAAAUCUGUAAUCACAUAGUUACCAACCUAUUAUAUUUGCUCCUCUAUUUUUCAUUUUUUAUAAUCAGCACACCAGAAUAUAAAUAUGGGGAAUUAGAAAAUAAUCAAAUAUUUUGACACUUGUGAGCUGGAUGUUUUUUGUCAGUUAGGUGUGCCAAUACCACCUAGUGACAAAAUCUGUAAUCACAUAGUUACCAACCUAUUAUAUUUGCUCCUCUAUUUUUCAUUUUUUAUAAUCAGCACACCAGAAUAUAAAUAUGGGGAAUUAGAAAAUAAUCAAAUAUUUUGACACUUGUGAGUUGGAUGUUUUUUGUCAGUUAGGUGUGCCAAUACCACCUAGUGACAAAAUCUGUAAUCACAUAGUUACCAACCUAUUAUAUUUGCUCCUCUAUUUUUCAUUUUUUAUAAUCAGCACACCAGAAUAUAAAUAUGGGGAAUUAGAAAA